rnacentral:misc_RNA from 1 species
GAUGAAGAACGUAGCGAAAUGCGAUACUUGGUGUGAAUUGCAGAAUCCCGUGAACCAUCGAGUCUUUGAACGCAAGUUGCGCCCGAAGCCAUUAGGCCGAGGGCACGCCUGCCUAGGCGUCACACGUCGUUGCCCCCCCAUCUACUCCUUCGGGAUUGCGGGGGGGCGGAUGAUGGCCUCCCGUGCGCCUCGCCGCGCGGUUGGCAUAAAUGCCAAGUCCUCGGCGACGCACGCCACGACAAUCGGUGGUUGCGAAACCUCGGUUGCCCGUCGUGUGCGGUCGUCGCGCAUCGAGGGCUCGAAAAAAUUGCCGGGUUCCGGCUCGGCUUUCAACGCGACCCCAGGUCAGGCGGGGUUACCCGCUGAAUUUAAGCAUAUCAAUAAGCGGAGGA